rnacentral:rRNA from 1 species
CGAAGGGUGCGAGCGUUAAUCGGAAUUACUGGGCGUAAAGCGCGCGUAGGCGGUUUGUUAAGUUGGAGGUGAAAUCCCCGGGCUCAACCUGGGAAGUGCCUCCAAAACUGGCUGACUAGAGUACGGUAGAGGGUGGUGGAAUUUCCUGUGUAGCGGUGAAAUGCGUAGAUAUAGGAGGACACCAGUGGCGAAGGCGACCACCUGGACUGAUACUGACGCUGAGGUGCGAAAGCGUGGGGGAGCAAACAGGAUU